GCCUUCGUGGUGUAACGGUUAACGCACUAGUUGCGUAUGCGAGAGGUCCAAGGUUCGAGUCCUGGCGAAGGCA
rnacentral:tRNA from 1 species